AACAUCUGCUACUACUUAGUCUAUUUAGCUUGUUUCAAUUGUUGGAUAGAGCUACGAUGAUGUUCAUGAAUCUGGCUUCACAACAUUCAGAGGUAAAGUCGGCGAUGCAAAAUCUAAAAGGAAUGAUCCAAUUGUAGCUCUUGUUGCAUUAAUCGCUUAGUGUGACUGAUUUAGCUUAGGACACGCUUCAUUCAUGUUAAUCUUAAUGGGAUUCUCAUCCAUUUGAUGAGGUACAGACAAGUAGCAACUAGAGGCGACCAUCAUAUGCACUAAGGAAUGGGAUCGGUGCUCAAGUGACUUCAAGGUUGCUAGCAAGUUACUUUCACUGCUCAACUGAUGCUUAAUUUUAGAAUGAUGACUGCGAAGGUAAUUAGGCCAUAAUUGCUGAAAGGAGCUAAGUGCGGCCAAUCUGCACUUUCAAUGAUCAAAUUAAAAUUGUAAUUUAAUGAUUUGUAGACUAUCCAAAAGUUAUAGCUCCAACAUCUGUACUAAAAAAUUUCUUGAUCAAUGAUUAGUGUAUUUGAAUGC